UUACUCAUUUCUCCUGGUCAUACGUGUUGGCUCUAUGGAAACUGAAGAAGAAAUGACUAAAAUCUAUCAACUUAAAAGCAUGCUUGGUUCCUCGUUUCUGGAUCGUACCACAAUCCUGUUUUCACGCAGUGAUGACCUCGAGGGGAAAGCUUUUAAGGACUUUAUUAAGGAAGGAGGUAAAGAGUUCCGUGAUCUGUUAAAGCAAUGUGGUGACAGAUGCCACUGCCGGAACAAUAGAGAUAGCAGACCUGAUAAGAAAGUAGAAGAGCUGUUAAAGGAUUUGAAAAAGACAGAGACAAGAAAUCCAAAUUCAGUGAAGAAUUCCAACGACAAAAUAAACAACAAGGAAGAAAACCUAUCUUCUUGUAUCUCUCAGCAAGAUAAUGCAAUGACUAAUAGAAAAUGCUCAAGAGAAACACACGUGUUUGAAAAUCAAAUCAGGGUUUUAUUCCUUGGAAGGAACAAAGUUGGAAAAACCUCAAGCAUCAAAACUCUUCGUGACAAAUGUGAACAAAGUGAAAUCGGAGGAGAUGAAGUUUAUAUUCACCCUAGCUUUGAACUGAGUCCGAAGCUGAUAGGAGCUCCUGGCUUUGAUGAUAAUCUGGAACAAAUCCGGAUGGCCAUCUCAAAAUCUGUGUCUGACUGCUUACCUGGACCUCAUGUCAUUAUUAUAGUGCUGAGGGUGGAACGUUUCACUCCAGACAGCCAUGAAACAUGUACAAGAUUGUCUUGGACAAAAUGCCAGAAAACACACAAUGAUUCUAUUCACUGGAGGGGAUAAUUUGGAGGGCAAACCUGUUGAAAUCUUCAUUCAAGAGAACCAGGAUCUCAGUAAAUUUGUGGAAAUACUUAAAAACAGAUACCAUGCACUCAAUAACAGAGACACCAGCAAUAAGACCCAAGUGGAUGAACUGCUGAAGAAGAUUAAUCACAUGUACAAACAAAAUAAUAAAGAAUUUUGCACAAAAUAGCAAGGAGAUUUCGAUCAAGACAUGCAAGUAGCUUGGAUCCAACAUGUACAUAAUAAUUAGAGGAGCAGUUACACCAUAAUAUUGCAAUUAGUCCCUCAAGACCAUCAUGAGAUGCAACAUGUGAAAUGACCAUCAGCUCACUCCCUGUGUCUGUGUGUGUGUGUGUGUGUGUGUGUGUGUGCGUGUGUGUGUGUGUGUGUGUGUGUGUGUGUGUAAUGUACUAUACUGUGUAUUGCUAUCCAGACCUGUUCUUUGUUGUUGUAUGAUUGCAUUUUAAUGUAAACCAAUGUAUACAUUACAGUAGCUUUAGCCUAGCACUUAAUCCAGGUCUUAUAGUUAGUUGGGGCUUGCAGUGUUCACCCAACAGCUAUUUUGUAGUUGUUUGUUUUUAUGUAGGAUAGUUUGUUGUGCAGCAAUUUUUGAUGUCAGCUCCUCAAACAUAAACAAAAAUGAAAGCAUAUAUUUUUUACUUUCUAUUGCCAUUACAGUGCCAUUAGAAAGUUUGUGAACACUUUACAAUUUUCCGUGUUUCUGCAUAAAUUUGACCUGAAAUCAGAUCAGGUCUUAAAAUUAAUGAAUCCAGUCCUAAAAGUAGAUAAAGAGAACCCAGUUAAACAAUUGACACAAACAUAGUUUUUUGUUUGUUUUUGUUUUACAUCUAUUUAUUGAGCGAAAUUAUCCAACAUUAAAUAUCUUUGUUGGAAAAAGUAUGUGAACCUCUAGGAGUAUGAGUUAAUUUAAAGGGUUUAGUGAAGUCAAGUUUUUACAGAAAAACAGAAAAUAUGCAAAAGGUUUACAAACUUUCUAGUGGCACUACAUAUGUUAAAAUGUGUCUGGGACAUAUGAUCCAAUGAUUCCUUUCUACAAUUAGAGAUGUCUUUGAUUUUAUGAUGCUUGUAUUUUUGUUAUUAAUCAUCAAAAUAUUUUUUUUGAAAGAUUAAACUUUUAAUUUUUUGUGCUGUGUCUUAUGGCAAUACACACACAACUGUAUCAUAAUUCAACAGAUAAGCUGUAAAAGAAAACAGUUCUUCUUUUUGCUUCCAUAUUGUGUAUAUCAUUAAAUGCAU
ensembl:lncRNA